UUGGUUCACGGGUGAAAUAUAAGAAGAAGGAGUGGAUGGUGAAGAAGCGUAGAAAGAAAGGAGUAGUAGAAAUUGAAAGUCCAUACUCCAGAAGAGUCAAGAGGGUGGAUAAAAGGGAAUUGAUGAGUUGGUGUGAUGAACACAUCAACAUGGAAGAGAAGAUAUGAGCUUACUGGGUCAUGCUAAUGACGUUAAAAGAGCGCUCAUUGGGAGGCACCCCAGUAAUUGUUGAAUAUUAUUUUUUAUUUUGUAUUAUUUGGACUUGUAAUUUUUGGAUUUGUAAACAAUUUUUAUUAGGUAACAUCUAUAAUGCUAAUUAUUUAUGUAUCUACUGAGGGAUACAGGUAAGUGUCGCAACCGGUGUUGCGAUGGGACGACG
rnacentral:lncRNA from 1 species